GAUAGUCUAUUAGUGGUUAGGAUGUUUGACUCAUAACCAAAAGGUUCUGGGUUCAAUCCCCAAUACUCA